rnacentral:rRNA from 1 species
GAUUUCUGGUCUGGCGCGCCUGGCCCGCGGCGUUAGCUUGUGAGUGCCGGGUCGCGCCUGCCAUCCUUCUAGAAAACCUGUCUACCCUUCACUGGGCCGGACAGGCGAUCUAGAUCUUUUACUUUGAAAAAAUUAGAGUGUUUAAAGCAGGCUUUUGCUAUGAAUACAUUAGCAUGGAAUAAUAAUUUAGGACUUCGGUUCUAUUUUGUUGGUUUCUAGGACUGAAGUAAUGAUUGAUAGGGAUAGUUGGGGGUGCUAGUAUUCAGUGGCCAGAGGUGAAAUUCUCGGAUUCACUGAAGACUAACUUAUGCGAAAGCAUU